GAUGUAUGUUCUUCUGGAACUCUCUGGAUGCGAUGUCACUCAGUACUGACUGUCCCUCUUAGGGCCACUCUGCAUUGAACAAGACUCCUGUAGGCUCGUGUUUCCCAACCAUGCGUGUAGGGCAAGAUCCUUCCGAAGCACUGUGACGCCUUCUUCUAAGAGCAAGGAAAUGCAAGCGCUGAUUUGCGUGCUGGGUGUUGAACCCACAUACUGGACAUCAGUUCGUACUUGAAAUCCGAUGCUACAUCUACUGCAUUCAAGGAAGUGUGUUUGCAGAAGGGUUUCAAGCCAGCUUCUUUCGAGCUUUAUGCUUAGGGCUCUGCCAGUUAACUUCAGUGAUGGCUGCAUGUGUUAAUCUGGAGCCUUCCUUUUGAGGAGCACCUUGCAGAACAGGGGUUCGGCCCAGAGUGACCAGGAAGAAAAAGCAAAACCCGAAGAGCCCAGGUUUCCAACAUCCCCUGUAAGGCCACGCCCUCAUGACCUCACUUCCGCCCACCUAGGCCCCACUUCCGGAGAACCCACUUCCGGAGGUCUCCGCCUAGUGCCAUAGGCCUGGGACCAAGCCUUCCACACAUCAGUCUGUGGGAACAUUUCAGACCCAAAGGACAGCACCUCCCGUGCCCACAGCCCGUCCUCCCUGCAGUUCCGAGGACGCAUAGUGAGGACAGGUUGUUGGUGUCUCGACAAAGAAUUGGACAGGACACACAGAAAAGGUAGCAAAGGUGCACGGGUAUUAAAGGUGAAAAAAGGCCCAUUGAGCUGUCCUCUUCACGGCUCUAGAAUUCUUCCGCCUCCCUGCCCUUCUAGCACUGUCUCCGCGGCCCCAGAGUCACUGUGAUGAAACUCAGAGCGUGUGAGUCCACGUCACCAGCUGUCGUGGGCUCCUCUCACUUGUCCAGACAGCGCCAAACUUCCUUCUCCAGGACCAGCGACUCCAGGGCUUGGAUUCCUGUCCUCUGGGAUCUUGCCGUGUCUUGCUUCUGCCCAGAUGAGCUGCCUGGUAUCCGAGCCCAGUGAAGUGGGACCUGCCUCCUCCCGCACCUAUUCUGCCCCUGGGCCUGAGAGGCAGGGCCGAGAGGUUGGCCCAUCCGGCUCCUCCUCACUCCCUGUCCCUGCCCUUCAGUCCUGCAGGACUGAGCUCUGGCGGCUUAUGGAGCCUAAUGUAUACCUCUCCUGCUACGAGACAUCGGUAGCCAAGUCGUGGGCAGUUGCACGCAGGACAAGGUGGGUAGGUCCAAUGGCCUGAAUCGUCCACCGAUACCCAGUGCAGGGAAGCAUCCGGGAGAAGCCAGGAUCCAGACACCACCCCAGAAGACAUCCAUACCACCAGGCUCUACCCUAGGUCCCAGGGUAGAGCUCCUGGGAGCUCUUCUGUUGCUGUCCCACAGGAAUGGCAAUGUAUUCCUCUUGGUUUUUAUCUCUAGGGUAACCUUUCCCAACCUUAUCCAUCCCAGGAAGUACACACCAUAAAAAGAUCAUAUUUGUUAUCCUUUCUGUGUCCACCUGCCCGAUCCUGUGUGACUCCCUGAGUUUAUCCUAACAAAACAUCAUCCAUUUGCUCUGGGCCUAUAAUGUGUCCACACAGUUCCCAAUGGCAUCUUAUCUCCCCUUCAUCACCAAAGUCUAAACUUUCUCUUGGACACAGCUCCUAGAGCUUCUCUCACCCACUUCUCCUGCACUCCAGGCCCACACAGCUUGCUGGGACAUUUCCCAGAUUCCUCACCUGAGACCCCAAGUUCUCCGUGACUCCUCACCUCAGUGCCUGGCACUGAAGUCCCCCAUAGCGUGAUGCGAAUCCUCUACCUGGCCUGCUCUCUUUAAUUCUGCAGCACCAUCAUUCCCUAGAGGCCAUCAUAAGAAUGCCCCCAGUUUUCAUUAGAAACCAGAGUCUAGCGAUUUUGUGGGGAGGGACGUGACACGAGACCCCAACACAGGGACGUGCUUUGCUGCUUCACCGUUAACCAGAACUACACACAGACACAGCAGAAUAAA